CGAUCGACGACUCGAAGAUUGCCACGUUGCACCUGUUCGUGGCGUUCGGGUUACAGAUUGUC
rnacentral:pre_miRNA from 1 species